AGAGUUUGAUCCUGGCUCAGGACGAACGCUGGCGGCGUGCUUAACACAUGCAAGUCGAACGGGCCUGUCUUCUUUUUUGGGGGUGGGUUGAGUGGCGAACGGGUGAGUAUCACGUGAGUAACCUGCCCUUCGGUCCUGGAUAACCGCUUGAAAGGGCGGCUAAUACGGGGUGGUCCGGUUGGUCCGCAUGGGCUGGUCGGGAUAGAUUCACUGUUUUUGGUGUUUCGGCGGGGGAUGGGCUCGCGGCCUAUCAGCUUGUUGGUGGGGUGAUGGCCUACCAAGGCGGUGACGGGUAGCCGGCCUGAGAGGGUGGACGGUCACACUGGGACUGAGACACGGCCCAGACUCCUACGGGAGGCAGCAGUGGGGAAUAUUGCACAAUGGGCGCAAGCCUGAUGCAGCGACGCCGCGUGAGGGAUGGAGGCCUUCGGGUUGUGAACCUCUUUCGCCAGUGAAGAAGGUCCUGCUCUUUGUGGUGGGGUUGACGGUAGCUGGGUUAAUGAAGCGCCGGCUAACUACGUGCCAGCAGCCGCGGUAAUACGUAGGGCGCGAGCGUUGUCCGGAAUUAUUGGGCGUAAAGGGCUUGUAGGCGGCUGGUCGCGUCUGCCGUGAAAUCCUCUGGCUCAGCUGGGGGCGUGCGGUGGGUACGGGCUGGCUUGAGUGCGGUAGGGGAGACUGGAACUCCUGGUGUAGCGGUGGAAUGCGCAGAUAUCAGGAAGAACACCGGUGGCGAAGGCGGGUCUCUGGGCCGUUACUGACGCUGAGGAGCGAAAGCGUGGGGAGCGAACAGGAUUAGAUACCCUGGUAGUCCACGCUGUAAACGUUGGGCACUAGGUGUGGGGGGCCUUUUCCGGGUUUUCCGCGCCGUAGCUAACGCAUUAAGUGCCCCGCCUGGGGAGUACGGCCGCAAGGCUAAAACUCAAAGGAAUUGACGGGGGCCCGCACAAGCGGCGGAGCAUGCGGAUUAAUUCGAUGCAACGCGAAGAACCUUACCAAGGCUUGACAU
rnacentral:rRNA from 1 species